AAGUCGUAACAAGGUUUCCGUAGGGUAGCAACCUGGCAGGGAAGGAUUCAUUUAUUGAGAGGAGGGCUUCGCGCUCCCGGGGGGCCCGCCCCACCUCUUCACCCACUGUUAACCUACCUUUGUUGCUUUGGCGGGCCUUGAGUUCAUGCUCAUGCCAGCCCCGGCCGCACCCGGGCCGGCGUGUGCCCGUCAGAGGCCCUUUUAAAUUCUGUCUAUUGGUGUCGUCCGAGCUUAUAUUCAAUCAUCAAAA
rnacentral:misc_RNA from 1 species